AGAAAAAGGCAAAACUAAAGUGAUUUAGUGACGCAAAACUAUAGGGUCUAAUUAUGUAUUUUAGAUAGCCAGUUGCC
rnacentral:ncRNA from 1 species